rnacentral:misc_RNA from 1 species
GAUGAAGAACGCAGCGAAAUGCGAUAAGUAGUGUGAAUUGCAGGUGUAUACGUGAAUCAUCGAAUCUUUGAACGCAAAUUGCACUUUCUGGUAUUCCAGGAAGUAUGCCUGUUUGAGGGUCGCCUAAAUAAACUUCGAUUAUAUUGCUUUUUUUGUAAAUAUAUGUCGGAUUUGGGCUUUUCUUUAUUUUUUUUUUAAAUAAAGUGGCUUAAAAUUUUUUUUUUUGGUAUCAUCGAAAAGCGUAUUUUACGAUCAAUGUCGAUCAAAAGAAACGUUGUCGAAUGCCAUCCUUUAUUAAUGUAAUACGUUUGACUUGUGUUAUCAUCUAGUUCAUUCGUAUACGAUUCUUGAUUUUUUGACCUCAAAUCAGGUAAGAGUACCCGCUGAACUUAAGCAUAUCAAUAAGCGGAGGA